UAAAACAUUGUGCUGUUCCGUUGUUUACAGGUGGAGUCAACAAUCUUUCUCCAGAAUCACCCUUAAUGUUGCAUUCAGGCAAUCCUCAUCUACUCAUUUACUAAGUUAAGAAAUCUGAGUGUUUGCUCAGUGUUUUGGUUUUGGUGGUCAGCACCUGGAAUAGAUCAAUAAAAAACACUGCAAUCUAUAGCUAAUAGAAGCUAAACAUACUGUAACCUCUCUACUGUUUGUUCUUGAUAGCAGCCUGGGUGUGUUGUUAAUCCCAAGACAACAGAUCAAGUUAAAUGGAUAUAUUAACACCUUUAACACUGACUUCAUGAUUGACGCAGACUGCCUGAAUGCAUCAUUGGGUUUGACCUCUGAAAGGAGCAAGUUCAGCUGGUCUGCAAAUGUGGGCCUUCAGAGGAUCCAGCCUCUGAACUGGGACACAUAGUCUCAGCCUGAAUAGAAGGGAGAUGUUGACAAUGACACUUGAGUGUUUGUUUUUGAAUAUAUUUUAUUUUAUACAUUUUAACUUUCCAGUGCCUGAACACCCUUCGCAAAAAGUAAAAAAAAACUUGAAAACACAUAAGCAGAGGUGUUCCAAAACAAACAGAAAACAAAAACAGAACCAGACAAAUACCAUUUUUCUUCAAAUUACAGACAUAAAUAGUUUACAUGCAUUUUAAUUGUGGAUGUCUCUCAAAUGCACUGUGUCAAAGAGACUCACUUGUGAGUGAUGUGAUCCAGGCAGCAGGUUAAUGUUAUACCAGUGUGUACUGAGCUCUAAUGAGGGUGAAUCAGUGCUGGGAUUUUGUCUGCUCUCCACAGGUUGAGGAUUGAGUUUAUAUUAUUGUUCAGCAAUGUUUUUGACAUUAACUAUCUUGGAGCAGGCAAGAGUUUUAGAGAUUAUACAUGGUGCCUUUGAUCUUACAUGAAGCUGAAUUGGGCUAAUGAGGGUAGAUAAUCUUGAGGGCAACACUUCUCUGGUAACUCUCCAUUCAGUGUUUCAUAUUGUAUUGACCCAAAAUCUGCAGUUAAUCACUGUUUUUUUUCACACUUCUUAACAGAGAAAGAAGCCAAAAAGUCACUUUACUGGAAACAUAUUAACAUAACAAGCUUUAACUUAAGUCAUGUUUUUAUUUUCAAUGAUUGACCUUCUCUCUUGACGUCUAGGGCGAGUUUAAAGUUAGAUUGUACCAGAUCCAAAUUCUGUCAAAUCCACUCGGAGAAAAGGGUUCAGUCAGUGUGGGAUGUGUAAGCUUUGGGUUAAUAUAUUAUGUAGACAAACUACCUCAACAUGAAAUGACCAGAGGAGAUAUGUGUAUGUGGGAAAAUCACACUUUCAUUGGAGAUUGUCUAAAAUGUUGUGCCCUACAUUGCUUUUCUGUCUAGCUUAUCAAACAAAUCCUCAGUCAGGAGUGCCUUUUAUCCAAAACAUGCUCUGAUAAAACAAGCUUAAAACACAAUAUGAUUUUAAAAUGAAUAUGUUUCUUAACAAAGAUGCAUGCAUUUUACACCUUAUCACAACUUAAAGGUGAAAAUGCUAAUUUGUUUUCAUAUUUCUUUUUUUUAUUGAACAUUUUACAAGAGAAGCAUCAUGGAACUUAAUUUUGCAUGCCUCAAGUGCCUUUCGUUAAAAGGGUUUUGUUUUUAGAUGAUCUAUAUUGAAUUUGACAACCAAAACCUGCUGCAUUAUUUUACUUUGUCAUGAAUUGUAUCAGUUAUUUAAAUGUGCAAGGAUCUAUUUAGACACACUUGUACAACAUAAUAGGUCACUGUUUACACUUUUUGGUAAUUGGUCUUUUAAUAGGAAUUACAGACUGUUAGGGGCUAUUAACAGAAUUACGCUUUUAAAACAAAUUGUUUAGAAAUGUACAAAGUCUGGGUUAUUUGGAAGAAAAAAAAAAGAUUUACAACCAUGUGUCAUGGUUUGCUGACAAGGUGGGGUUUCAUCUCACCCAAACACCACAUCUGCCGAUUUUAGUGAUUAGUUUUAGAUGAUCCUCAAUCAAUCAAAGCUGCAGUUUGUGGCUGAAUGAAAACCUGCAGAUUGUCUUUGCUCCAUGAAACAAGACUGCUAAUCCCUCAUUUCAAAUAUUCUCAAACACAAAGACAUUUAAAAUGUGUGACUCAAUACUGUUAUGUUAUUUGUUACAGCUUCAUGCUGUUGCUCCUAGUGUCUGCAAUGAAAUCUGCAGUGUUCUCACAUUCACAUACUAACAGUGAACAUGCUGAUCAACAACUUUAUAUUUCUAAGGUGAGAUGGAUUCUUUAAAUUCAAGACUCAAAAGUGUUUUCUCAUGUUUUAUGUUUGUGUUUGUUAAACACAAUCCUACAAAUCGUUUUACUAAAUUUAAUUUAGAUUUUUCAUAUACUAUAUAUAUUAUUUUUAAUCAUAUUUCUAUUGUGCUGCUGUUGUGUUGAUUUGUGGCGUCUUAACUUUUUGUUAAAUAAAACGCCUUCAUUCUUAACCCUUGGUGUCAGUGAAUAACUCAGCAAAAGUUAGCAUCAUCUGGAUUAUUACCUCAGAGAGUCACUGGGUGGCAGCAUAGCAGCAAAAAAUGCAUUUAACAACACCAACACUGCAUUAUUUGUUGUACUUGUUUAUCUGAAAUAAAUGAUUUUGUUGCAGAGCUUUCAAUGAUCCGAGUUUUAGAAUUUAUUUUAAAAUCCUCCUUUUGGUUUACAAAGCAGUUGCUGGUCUGGCAUCAGUUUAUAGCCUUGCAGAUCUCUCCAAUCUCACAAAGUGGAAAUCUCCUCCAUGUGCCUUCGAGCACUUUUAAAAUAUGCAUCUAAAGAAUGUAACAGUUUGUCUGCUGAUUUCAAACUUGCCCCAACACUGUGUUCCUUUUAAACUUUAAAAACUGAACUUAAAACAAAAGUAAAGACCUUCCUAUUUACUCGAGCGUUUUCUUUAAUGAACAUAACAUAUUUGUACUGUAUGCUUGUUUGUAUGUGUGGAUAUAUGUACCAUGUAGUUUUAUCUUUAUGUAUGCAAGGAUGUCUGUUUAUUUGCACAUUUUUUGUUUUAUUUUGUUUCAUGUAUAGCACUCUGAACGGCUUGUGUACGAUAUGGUGCUAUACAAAUACAUUUUAAUUGAAUUGACUGCAUGGGGAAAAUUUAAGCAACACACAAAUGUGUUUGAUAGCAUGUGGACAGCAAAAAAAAAAAAAA